CCUACGGGUGGCUGCAGUGGGGAAUAUUGGACAAUGGGCGAAAGCCUGAUCCAGCCAUGCCGCGUGUGUGAAGAAGGCCUUCGGGUUGUAAAGCACUUUCAGUGGGGAAGAAAGCCUUGGGGCUAAUACCCUCGAGGAAGGACAUCACCCACAGAAGAAGCACCGGCUAACUCCGUGCCAGCAGCCGCGGUAAUACGGAGGGUGCGAGCGUUAAUCGGAAUUACUGGGCGUAAAGCGCGCGUAGGCGGUCUGAUAAGCCGGUUGUGAAAGCCCCGGGCUCAACCUGGGAACGGCAUCCGGAACUGUCAGGCUAGAGUGCAGGAGAGGAAGGUAGAAUUCCCGGUGUAGCGGUGAAAUGCGUAGAGAUCUGGAGGAAUACCAGUGGCGAAGGCGGUCUUCUGGACUGACACUGACGCUGAGGUGCGAAAGCGUGGGUAGCAAACAGGAUUAGAUACCCUAGUAGUC
rnacentral:rRNA from 1 species